AUUGAACGCUGGCGGCAGGCCUAACACAUGCAAGUCGAGCGGUAGCACAGAGAGCUUGCUCUCGGGUGACGAGCGGCGGACGGGUGAGUAAUGUCUGGGAAACUGCCUGAUGGAGGGGGAUAACUACUGGAAACGGUAGCUAAUACCGCAUAACGUCGCAAGACCAAAGAGGGGGACCUUCGGGCCUCUUGCCAUCAGAUGUGCCCAGAUGGGAUUAGCUAGUAGGUGGGGUAACGGCUCACCUAGGCGACGAUCCCUAGCUGGUCUGAGAGGAUGACCAGCCACACUGGAACUGAGACACGGUCCAGACUCCUACGGGAGGCAGCAGUGGGGAAUAUUGCACAAUGGGCGCAAGCCUGAUGCAGCCAUGCCGCGUGUAUGAAGAAGGCCUUCGGGUUGUAAAGUACUUUCAGCGGGGAGGAAGGUGUUGAGGUUAAUAACCUCAGCAAUUGACGUUACCCGCAGAAGAAGCGCCGGCUAACUCCGUGCCAGCAGCCGCGGUAA
rnacentral:rRNA from 1 species